rnacentral:lncRNA from 1 species
GGGCGCGGGCCGGCCGCCGCGCGGUGCGCUCGCCGUGCUCUGUGCGGCUCGCCGGGCCGCCCGCCAGAGGGUGCCCCCCACCCCCAUGAAGUCGGAUCCUUGAGCUGCGGCGGCGGCAGCCAACUGCUCCAUAUUUGGCUUCUAUUACACAUUUACAUACUGGAGCGAGCGAGCGAGCGAGCGCGAGAGAGCGCGAGGGAGGGAGGGCGGGCGGGCGGAGGGAGGAGGGAGGGGAGGGGAGCGGGAGGAGGGGGAGGAGGAGGAGGAGGAGGAGGAGAGAGCAGAGUAUACCGCAGACAUCAUUUCUACUACAGUGGCGGAGCCGUACAGGACCUGUUUCACUGCAGGGGGAUCCAAAACAAGCCCCGUGGAGCAGCAGCCAGAGCAACAGCAGCCGCAAGACAUUGUUUCUCUCCCUCUGCCCCCCCUUCCCCACGCAACCCCAGAUCCAUUUACACUUUACAGAGCAUCGUGCAUCAAGUCACCAGGGUGGUCCAUUCAAGCUGCAGAUUUAUUUGUCAUCCUUGUACAACAGUCUCCUUCUCCACUGCCACUACAGGGAAGUGCAUCACAUGUCAGUGAAUAUCUUUGCACACAAGUAUUUACCGAGGAUACACUCGCAUCAGAAGGCUCAUUACUAAGUUAGAGGAGCUUGCUCUGAAUUGCUUUCUAAAAGGCUGUGCCAAUUUGCAUUGUUACUAAUGAUAUAAACUCCUUAUACGAAGAUUAAUUCAAGAUGGAUUAGAGACUUAAAUGUUAGACCUAAUACCAUAAAAACCCUAGAAGAAAA